rnacentral:rRNA from 1 species
GACGAACGCUGGCGGCGUGCCUAAUACAUGCAAGUCGAGCGAAGUUUUUCCGGUGCUUGCACUAGAAAAACUUAGCGGCGAACGGGUGAGUAACACGUAAAGAACCUGCCUCAUAGACUGGGACAACUAUUGGAAACGAUAGCUAAUACCGGAUAACAGUAUUUCUCGCAUGAGAGAUAUUUAAAAGUUGGUUAUGCUAACACUAUGAGAUGGCUUUGCGGUGCAUUAGCUAGUUGGUGGGGUAAAGGCCCACCAAGGCGACGAUGCAUAGCCGACCUGAGAGGGUGAUCGGCCACACUGUGACUGAGACACGGCCCAGACUCCUACGGGAGGCAGCAGUAGGGAAUCUUCCGCAAUGGGCGAAAGCCCGACGGAGCAACGCCGCGUGAGUGAAGAAGGAUUUCGGUUCGUAAAGCUCUGUUGUUAGGGAAGAAUGGAUAUGUAGUAACUAUACAUGUAAGAGACGGUACCUAACCAGAAAGCCACGGCUAACUACGUG